rnacentral:rRNA from 1 species
UGCCAGCAGCCGCGGUAAUACGAAGGGACCUAACGUAGUUCGGAAUUACUGGGCUUAAAGAGUUCGUAGGUGGUUGAGAAAGUUGGUGGUGAAAUCCCAGAGCUUAACUCUGGAACUGCCAUUAAAACUUUUCAGCUAGAGUAUGAUAGAGGAAAGCAGAAUUUCUAGUGUAGAGGUGAAAUUCGUAGAUAUUAGAAAGAAUACCAAUUGCGAAGGCAGCCUUCUGGAUCAUUACUGACGCUCAGACACGAAAGCUAGGGGAGCGAAAGGGAUAAGAUA